rnacentral:lncRNA from 1 species
GAAUGUGAAGUGAGAUUUCAAACAUAAUAUGGUCUAUUCAUUUCUGAAUGACCACCAAACAUAAUCUAGAGCAUCGCGGGCUCUAAGCACAUACCCUUUACCAUUUCUAGCAAAGGUCCAAAUAAUCCCACAAACACCAGAGUACAAAAGGGUAUUGUGAACAAUAAAUUGGGACAUAUCGGAAGCACAUGCGGAACAACGAAAUGUACAUGUGCCUUUAUGAAACAUUACGAUACAAACAUGAAGUUUACAUAACAGAUUUAGGUAUCCAAAAACAUGUAGGACAAAAGCAUACAAGAAUUCAAAGCAGUAAUAUAAAGUUCAAUUGAAU